rnacentral:rRNA from 1 species
AAUAUUGCACAAUGGGCGGAAGCCUGAUGCAGCGACGCCGCGUGAGGGAUGACGGCCUUCGGGUUGUAAACCUCUUUCAGCAGGGACGAAGCGUAAGUGACGGUACCUGCAGAAGAAGCACCGGCCAACUACGUGCCAGCAGCCGCGGUAAGACGUAGGGUGCGAGCGUUGUCCGGAUUUAUUGGGCGUAAAGAGCUCGUAGGCGGCUUGUCGCGUCGACUGUGAAAACCCGCAGCUCAACUGCGGGCCUGCAGUCGAUACGGGCAGGCUAGAGUUCGGUAGGGGAGACUGGAAUUCCUGGUGUAGCGGUGAAAUGCGCAGAUAUCAGGAGGAACACCGGUGGCGAAGGCGGGUCUCUGGGCCGAUACUGACGCUGAGGAGCGAAAGCGUGGGGAGCGAACAGGAUUAGAUACCCUGGUAGUCCACGCUGUAAACGUUGGGCGCUAGGUGUGGGGGGCCUCUCCGGUUCCCUGUGCCGCAGCUAACGCAUUAAGCGCCCCGCCUGGGGAGUACGGCCGCAAGGCUAAAACUCAAAGGAAUUGACGGAAGC